UUAAGGUUUAAAAUUUGAAUCCUUAGUGAACUGCAGAGAUGAACUCCUUGAAAGAUUUACUAGUGAUUCUGUGGCUUCAGUUAAGCUGGGUGAGGAGCCAGCAGGUGGUGGAGCAGACUCCUGAAUCCCUCGUUGUUUCUGAAGGAACCACUGCGUCUCUCAGCUGCACUUAUAGUGACACUGCUUCUCAGUCCUUCUUGUGGUACAGACAGUAUUCUGGCAAAGGCCUUGAAUUGCUGAUGUUCAUAUACUCUACUGGUGACAAAGAAGAAGGAAGGUUUACAGCACAGCUCAAUAAAGCCAGCCGAAAUGUGUCCCUGCUCAUCAGAGACUCUCAGCCCAGUGACUCAGCCACCUACCUCUGCGCAUUAGAAAUUUUGAAUCAAAAGCACACUCUAGUAAAAUUUAAAAUUUCAAACUGA